rnacentral:rRNA from 1 species
GAUAUCCCACGAAGGCAUCCGAAUGGGAUUAAAGAUUUAUCGGUGAUGGAUGGGGAUGCGUCUGAUUAGCUUGUUGGCGGGGUAACGGCCACCAAGGCAACGAUCAGUAGGGGUUCUGAGAGGAAGGUCCCCCCACAUUGGAACUGAGACACGGUCCCAAACUCCUACGGGAGGCAGCACGUGAGGAAUAUUGGUCAAUGGGCGAGAGCCUGAACCACGCCAAGUAGCGUGCAGGAUGACGGCCCUAUGGGUUGUAAACUGCUUUUAUAAGGGAAUAAAGUUAGUCCUCGUGAGACUUUUUGCAUGUACCUUAUGAAUAAGGACCGGCUAAUUCCGUG